rnacentral:rRNA from 1 species
GACGGGGGAUGCAAGUGUUAUCCGGAAUCACUGGGCGUAAAGCGUCUGUAGGUGGUUUAAUAAGUCAACUGUUAAAUCUUGAGGCUCAACCUCGAAAUCGCAGUCGAAACUAUUAGACUAGAGUAUAGUAGGGGUAAAGGGAAUUUCCAGUGGAGCGGUGAAAUGCGUAGAUAUUGGAAAGAACACCGAUGGCGAAGGCACUUUACUGGGCUAUUACUAACACUGAGAGACGAAAGCUAGGGUAGCAAAUGGG